AUUGAACGCUGGCGGCAGGCCUAACACAUGCAAGUCGAGCGGAUGAAGGGAGCUUGCUCCUGGAUUCAGCGGCGGACGGGUGAGUAAUGCCUAGGAAUCUGCCUGGUAGUGGGGGAUAACGUCCGGCAACGGGCGCUAAUACCGCAUACGUCCUGAGGGAGAAAGUGGGGGAUCUUCGGACCUCACGCUAUCAGAUGAGCCUAGGUCGGAUUAGCUAGUUGGUGGGGUAAAGGCCUACCAAGGCGACGAUCCGUAACUGGACUGAGAGGAUGAUCAGUCACACUGGAACUGAGACACGGUCCAGACUCCUACGGGAGGCAGCAGUGGGGAAUAUUGGACAAUGGGCGAAAGCCUGAUCCAGCCAUGCCGCGUGUGUGAAGAAGGUCUUCGGAUUUUAAAGCACUUUAAGUUGGGAGGAAGGGCAGUAAGUGAAUACCUUGCUGUUUUGACGUUACCAACAGAAUAAGCACCGGCUAACUUCGUG
rnacentral:rRNA from 1 species